rnacentral:rRNA from 1 species
CACGCAGUAAACUAUGAUUACUCGCUGUUUGCGAUACACAGCAAGCGCCUUAGCGAAAGCGUUAAGUAAUCCACCUGGGGAGUACGUUCGCAAGAAUGAAACUCAAAGGAAUUGACGGGGGCCCGCACAAGCGGAGGAACAUGUGGUUUAAUUCGAUGAUACGCGAGGAACCUUACCCGGGCUUGAAAUGCAUCUGACAGGAGCAGAGACGCUCUCUCCCUUCGGGGCAGAUGUGUAGGUGC